GUCUACUGCCAUCCCACCCUGAACAUGCCCGAUCUCGCCUGAUCUCGGAAGCUAAGCAGGGUCAGGCCUGGUUAGUACUUGGAUGGGAGACCACCUAGGAAGACCGGGUACCGCAGACA
rnacentral:rRNA from 1 species